UACGUAGGUCGCAAGCGUUGUCCGGAUUUACUGGGCGUAAAGAGCGCGCAGGCGGCUGGUCAAGUCCGAUGUGAAAUCUCCCGGCUCAACUGGGAAACUGCAUCGGAAACUGAUCGGCUUGAAGAUGGGAGAGGGUAGUGGAAUUCCCGGUGUAGUGGUGAAAUGCGCAGAUAUCAGGAGGAACACCAAUGGCGAAGGCAGCUCGCUGGGACGUGACUGACGCUGAGACGCGAAAGCGUGGGGAGCAAACAGG
rnacentral:rRNA from 1 species